rnacentral:rRNA from 1 species
UCUGGUUGAUCCUGCCGGAGGCCACUGCUAUCAGAGUUCGAUUAAGCCAUGCGAGUCGAGAGGUGCAAGACCUCGGCAUACUGCUCAGUAACACGUGGACAACCUACCCUACAGAAGGGGAUAACCCCGGGAAACUGGGGAUAAUACCCUAUAGACUAUGGAUGCUGGAAUGCUCUGUAGCCGAAAGGUCCGCCGCUGUAGGAUGGGUCUGCGGCCGAUUAGGUUGUUGUUGGGGUAACGGCCCAACAAGCCUGUAAUCGGUACGGGUUGUGGGAGCAAGAGCCCGGAGAUGGAUUCUGAGACACGAAUCCAGGCCCUACGGGGCGCAGCAGGCGCGAAAACUUUGCAAUGCGGGAAACCGUGACAAGGGAACUCUGAGUGCCCGUAAAAUCGGGCUGUCCAUCGGUUUAAAUAACCGGUGAAGAAAGGGCCGGGCAAGACCGGUGCCAGCCGCCGCGGUAAUACCGGCGGCUCGAGUGGUGGCCACUAUUACUGGGCUUAAAGCGUUCGUAGCUGGUUUGUUAAGUCUCUGGGGAAAUCUUCCGGCUUAACCGGAAGGCGUCUCAGGGAUACUGGCAGACUAGGGACCGGGAGAGGUGAGAGGUACUCCAGGGGUAGGAGUGAAAUCCUGUAAUCCUUGGGGGACCACCUGUGGCGAAGGCGUCUCACCAGAACGGCUCCGACAGUGAGGGACGAAAGCUGGGGGAGCAAACCGGAUUAGAUACCCGGGUAGUCCCAGCCGUAAACGAUGUGCGUUAGGUGUAUCGGUGACCACGAGUCACCGAGGUGCCGAAGAGAAAUCGUGAAACGUACCGCCUGGGAAGUACGGUCGCAAGGCUGAAACUUAAAGGAAUUGGCGGGGGAGCACCACAACAGGUGGAGCCUGCGGUUUAAUCGGACUCAACGCCGGGAAACUCACCAGAUAAGACAGCUGAAUGAUAGUCGGGCUGAAGACUCUACUUGACUAGCUGAGAGGAGGUGCAUGGCCGUCGUCAGUUCGUACUGUGAAGCAUCCUGUUAAGUCAGGCAACGAGCGAGACCCA